AUACGUCUUAGCCACAUAGAUACAAAUUUAGAGAGAUGGGUAUUCAAUGUAUUCUAUGUUUCUGGAAUGGCCAUGUUUUUAAUUUUCUGAGAGCAGCAUGGCCUUUCUCAUGAACUGUUUUAAAGAUUAGUUGCAAGUUUGUGACUUCAUAGGAGUAAUUUUCUUCUGCCUGAAACCAGUUUCAUUAAGUAGAAAUGAAGCUCAGUUAUGAAUAAGUUGCUGCUAAAGUCCACAAUACUCUGUGUUUUAGCUUGAUUAGUAAACAUCAACACAGUUUGUACUUGAGUUUACAAUGAAA
rnacentral:misc_RNA from 1 species